rnacentral:rRNA from 1 species
GACAGCAGUCGCCGCGGGAAUACGUAGGUCCUGAGCGUUGUCCGGAUUUAUUGGGCGUAAAGCGAGCGCAGGCGGUUAGAUAAGUCUGAAGUUAAAGGCUGUGGCUUAACCAUGGUACGCUUUGGAAACUGUUUAACCUGAGUGCAAGAGGGGAGAGUGGAAUUCCAUGUGUAGCGGUGAAAUGCGUAGAUAUAUGGAGGAACACCGGUGGCGAAAGCGGCUCUCUGGCUUGUAACUGACGCUGAGGCUCGAAAGCGAGGGGAGCAAACAGGAUUAGAUACCCGCGUAGUCCCUGUCUCUUAUACC